rnacentral:rRNA from 1 species
UAGUGGCGAACGGGUGAGUAACACGUGAGUAACCUGCCCCUGACUCUGGGAUAAGCGUUGGAAACGACGUCUAAUACUGGAUAUGAUCACUGGCCGCAUGGUCUGGUGGUGGAAAGAUUUUUUGGUUGGGGAUGGACUCGCGGCCUAUCAGCUUGUUGGUGAGGUAAUGGCUCACCAAGGCGACGACGGGUAGCCGGCCUGAGAGGGUGACCGGCCACACUGGGACUGAGACACGGCCCAGACUCCUACGGGAGGCAGCAGUGGGGAAUAUUGCACAAUGGGCGAAAGCCUGAUGCAGCAACGCCGCGUGAGGGAUGACGGCCUUCGGGUUGUAAACCUCUUUUAGUAGGGAAGAAGCGAAAGUGACGGUACCUGCAGAAAAAGCACCGGCUAACUACGUGCCAGCAGCCGCGGUAAUACGUAGGGUGCAAGCGUUGUCCGGAAUUAUUGGGCGUAAAGAGCUCGUAGGCGGUUUGUCGCGUCUGCUGUGAAAUCCCGAGGCUCAACCUCGGGCUUGCAGUGGGUACGGGCAGACUAGAGUGCGGUAGGGGAGAUUGGAAUUCCUGGUGUAGCGGUGGAAUGCGCAGAUAUCAGGAGGAACACCGAUGGCGAAGGCAGAUCUCUGGGCCGUAACUGACGCUGAGGAGCGAAAGCAUGGGGAGCGAACAGGAUUAGAUACCCUGGUAGUCCAUGCCGUAAACGUUGGGCGCUAGAUGUAGGGACCUUUCCACGGUUUCUGUGUCGUAGCUAACGCAUUAAGCGCCCCGCCUGGGGAGUACGGCCGCAAGGCUAAAACUCAAAGGAAUUGACGGGGGCCCGCACAAGCGGCGGAGCAUGCGGAUUAAUUCGAUGCAACGCGAAGAACCUUACCAAGGCUUGACAUACACCGGAAACGGCCAGAGAUGGUCGCCCCCUUGUGGUCGGUGUACAGGUGGUGCAUGGUUGUCGUCAGCUCGUGUCGUGAGAUGUUGGGUUAAGUCCCGCAACGAGCGCAACCCUCGUUCUAUGUUGCCAGCGGGUUAUGCCGGGGACUCAUAGGAGACUGCCGGGGUCAACUCGGAGGAAGGUGGGGAUGACGUCAAAUCAUCAUGCCCCUUAUGUCUUGGGCUUCACGCAUGCUACAAUGGCCGGUACAAAGGGCUGCGAUACCGUAAGGUGGAGCGAAUCCCAAAAAGCCGGUCUCAGUUCGGAUUGAGGUCUGCAACUCGACCUCA